AAAUGACUCUCGGCAACGGAUAUCUCGGCUCACGCAUCGAUGAAGAACGUAGCAAAAUGCGAUACUUGGUGUGAAUUGCAGAAUCCCGUGAACCAUCGAGUUUUUGAACGCAAGUUGCGCCUAAAGCCAUCCGGUUGAGGGCACGCCUGCCUGGGCGUCAC
rnacentral:rRNA from 1 species